AAAUAUAAUUAUGUUUAAUAUAAAUAAUAAAUGGAAACAUAAUUAAAAAUAUAAUUAAAUUUACCAUGCUAGAUCCUCCAAUUGCAUGGAUGACAUAGGUACAAAUGUGGAAUACAAAAUGCUAGAUCCCCCGACCUCCAAGAAUGAAGGUACAUGUUUAAUUAAAUGAAAGCAUAUAUAAAAAUAUAAUUAUGUUUAAUAAAAAUAAGAAAUGGAAACAUAAUUAAAAAU
rnacentral:lncRNA from 1 species